CCUACGGGUGGCAGCAGUGGGGGAUAUUGCACAAUGGGGGGAACCCUGAUGCAGCGACGCCGCGUGGGUGAAGGAGUGCUUCGGCAUGUAAAGCCCUAUCGGCAGGGAAGAAGCAAGACGGUACCUGACUAAGAAGCCCCGGCUAACUACGUGCCAGCAGCCGCGGUAAUACGUAGGGGGCGAGCGUUAUCCGGAUUCACUGGGUGUAAAGGGAUCGUAGACGGCCAAGCAAGCCAGGGGUGAAAGCCCGGGGCCCAACCCCGGGACUGCCCUUGGAACUGGAUGGCUAGAGUGCGGGGGGGGCAGGCGGAAGUCCUGGUGUAGCGGUGAAAUGCGUAGAUAUCAGGAGGAACGCCGGCGGCGAAGGCGGCCUGCUGGACCGCGACUGACGUUGAGGCUCGAAAGCGUGGGGAGCGAACAGGAUUAGAUACCCUUGUAGUC
rnacentral:rRNA from 1 species